rnacentral:rRNA from 1 species
CUUGGGUACUCGAGUGGCGAACGGGUGAGUAACACGUGGGUGAUCUGCCCUGCACUUCGGGAUAAGCCUGGGAAACUGGGUCUAAUACCGGAUAGGACCACAUUUUGGAUGGUGUGGUGGAAAGUUUUUCGGUGUGGGAUGAGCUCGCGGCCUAUCAGCUUGUUGGUGGGGUAAUGGCCUACCAAGGCGUCGACGGGUAGCCGGCCUGAGGGGGUGUACGGCCACAUUGGGACUGAGAUACGGCCCAG